CUGCGUAGCUGAUGGGAAGCAGGUCAAUAUUCCUGCACCAGUGUGAAAUGCGAUGGGGGGACGGAUCGCGGAAGGUUGUCCGGGUGUUGGAAGUCCCGGUCGCUGCGUUGGAGAAGGUGCUCUGGCAAAUCCGGGCACGGAAUUCAAGGGCGUGGCGCGAGCUCCUUCGGGAGCGAAGCAAUCGGAAGGGGUUCCAGGAAAAGCCUCUAAGCUUCAGUUUCACAUUGACCGUACCGCAAACCGACACAGGUGGGCGAGAUGAGUAUUCUAAGGCGCUUGAGAGAACUCGGGAGAAGGAACUCGGCAAAUUGGUACCGUAACUUCGGGAUAAGGUACGCCCCUGUAGCUUGAUGCCCCUGCGGGCAAAGGGUGAAGGGGUUGCAAUAAACUGGUGGCUGCGACUGUUUAAUAAAAACACAGCACUCUGCAAACACGAAAGUGGACGUAUAGGGUGUGACGCCUGCCCGGUGCCGGAAGAUUAAAUGAUGGGGUGCAAGCUCUUGAUUGAAGUCCCGGUAAACGGCGGCCGUAACAAUAACGGUCCUAAGGUAGCGAAAUUCCUUGUCGGGUAAGUUCCGACCUGCACGAAUGGCGUAACGAUGGCCACACUGUCUCCUCCCGAGACUCAGCGAAGUUGAAGUGUUUGUGAUGAUGCAAUCUCCCCGCGGCUAGACGGAAAGACCCCAUGAACCUUUACUGUAGCUUUGCAUUGGACUUUGAACCGAUCUGUGUAGGAUAGGUGGGAGGCUAUGAAGCUGGGACGCUAGUCUCAGUGGAGCCGUCCUUGAAAUACCACCCUGGUUUGUUUGAGGUUCUAACCUUGGCCCGUGAUCCGGGUCGGGGACAGUGCAUGGUGGGCAGUUUGACUGGGGCGGUCUCCUCCCAAAGUGUAACGGAGGAGUACGAAGGUACGCUAGGUACGGUCGGAAAUCGUGCUGAUAGUGCAAUGGCAUAAGCGUGCUUAACUGCGAGACCGACAAGUCGAGCAGGUGCGAAAGCAGGUCAUAGUGAUCCGGUGGUUCUGUAUGGAAGGGCCAUCGCUCAACGGAUAAAAGGUACUCUGGGGAUAACAGGCUGAUACCGCCCAAGAGUUCAUAUCGACGGCGGUGUUUGGCACCUCGAUGUCGGCUCAUCUCAUCCUGGGGCUGUAGCCGGUCCCAAGGGUAUGGCUGUUCGCCAUUUAAAGAGGUACGUGAGCUGGGUUUAAAACGUCGUGAGACAGUUUGGUCCCUAUCUGCCGUGGGCGCUGGAUAUUUGAAGGGGGCUGCUCCUAGUACGAGAGGACCGGAGUGGACGAACCUCUGGUGUACCGGUUGUCACGCCAGUGGCAUCGCCGGGUAGCUAUGUUCGGAAGAGAUAACCGCUGAAAGCAUCUAAGCGGGAAACUCGCCUUGAGAUGAGAUAUCCCCGGGGCUUCGAGCCCCUUGAAGGGUCGUUCAAGACCAGGACGUUGAUAGGUCAGGUGUGGAAGCGCAGUAAUGCGUUAAGCUAACUGAUACUAAUUGCCCGUAAGGCC
rnacentral:rRNA from 1 species